rnacentral:tRNA from 1 species
ACCAGUGUGAUGUAGUGGUAUAAGUGUGGGACUAGACUCCAGAGACCAGGGUUCAAAUCCCUGCUUGGCA